rnacentral:lncRNA from 1 species
AGGCCCACGUGAGAAGUAGCCACAACUUGUUUGCCCUCUAAGGAGCCAGAGGAAGUCUUGUCCGGGACUGAGGGCUUGGCCAGAGCCAGUCCCUGCGAACUGCCCGGCGCGUCCUGCCUUGCCAGACCCUCUGCCCGGGGUCAUCCGCAGCCCGCGGGCGCCAUCGGCUCCAGGCACACAUCACCCGUGCUGGAACCCCAGCGUGUGGAGACCGGAGGCCAAAGAAACGAAACUCCCCACGCUGCGCCGUGGAGAAUAAUCACUGCCUUUUCAGAGGCCGACUUCGCCCCCUGCCAAGACAGGGAGCUUGGGAGAUGUCUGCGCAAGGAUCACAAGGUCCCCCCGAAUACUCAAAAUAGACUUUGCAGAGAAGAUCCUUCCAACCUACUGUCUAGAGGGCAGAGGCAAGGCUGCAAGCAUUCCGGAAGUCCAACAGGGGAGGGAGAGUGGAGGAAGGAGGCGUCUCAACAUCUGGAACCAUAUUUCCAUCAGAUGUGUUUCUCAAGCACUCUGCCACUCCUUUCUACCUCUCCUGCGUUUGAUCUGAGGACGGCCCGUUCCACAGGAACACAAAGGCACAGAAGAUGAAGUAACUUGCCCACGGCCACACGGUUGACACCAUGAAGGCUGAACAAAGGAUAUCUGGGGGCAAAAUCUGACCCAUGGGCUGCCCAUUGCCACCUCUGGGCAGCCCUCCUUGAUGGUGUGGAGUCCGCGGUCCGCAUUGGUUAACUUAACUGUGCUUCCUCAGAUCCAGUCUGGAAUUAAUUAUUGAAUUGUAUGCAUUUUCAAUGCCAUCCUCAAGCUAACAGCCAACUAUGCGGGGGAAUAAAACGGAGCAGAGAACCGAGUUGGGUUCCAGAGACCCCAGAUUGUCUUCAUUUGCAGUUGCCAGGUUCCCUGCAGCCCGGGUCUGUGGAUUUCCCGCGGCUCAGCGCCCGCAGCUCAGGCUCCGUGGAGCCCGGCGGCAUGGACGAGGCGUCGCGCGCGCCCUCUAGUGGAGAAAAAGGGUCACUGCCGAACGCCAGCUGCGGACCGUCGAGAGUUCCUUGGGCCAUGGCUCCUGCCGGGAGCAGCAGCCCUGGGGCCGGGAUCCAGGAUGCAGAGGCGAGAAAAUGAACUGCCCGGCCACCACGAAGACAACCCACCCCUUGCCAGUCACCCCUCAAACUACUGACAAUGUCAACAACAAUAAUUAUAACAAUCAUAUUAAUAAGUAGAAUGACAAAUAUAAUAAUAUUUAACAGUUUGUGAUUUUCAGCCCACAAGGUUUCGCCUACUGUGUAGAUUACUCGGGACUCUGCAGGCCAGUAGGCCAUGUAUAGAUGGACAGAAAGAGGUUUGUUAUCAGAAAUGGGCUCACAUGACUGAGGAUACUGUGAAGUCCCACGACCUGCUGUUUGCAAGUAGGGGAUCAGGGAAGCCAGUGGAGUAGGUCAGUCCAAGCCCAAAGGCCGAGAACCAGAGGAGCCGACGGCCCAGCUCAAGCAGAAAGAGUGGCACUCACCCUUCCUCUGCCUUUUGUUCUCUUCAGGCCCUCAGCAGAUUGCAGGACGCCCCGACACAAGGAAGGGCGAUCUUGACUCAGUCAGUCCACGGAUGCACGCUAACCCCUUCCAGAAACACCCUCACAGACACACCUAGAAAUAAUGUGGGGUUUUUGGUGUUUUACUUUUAAUUGCAUUUAUUUUAAUGCCGGAUGUAUUUCCGCGUUGCCAGCUCCUGAGCAUCUCUGAGCCCAAUCAAGUUGACACAUACAAUUAACCAUCACGCUGUGUCAGUUCAAUCAUUAAAAAUACGCAACACUCAGCCGGGCGCGGUGACUCACGACUGUAAUCCCAGCACUUUGGGAGGCUGAGGUGGGUGGAUCACAAGGUCAGGAGUUCGAGACCAGCCUGGCCAACUGGUGAAACGCCGUCUCUAAUAAAAAUACAAAAAAUUAGCUGGUCGUGGUGGCAGGCACCUGUAAUCCCAGCUGCUCAGGAGGCUGAGGCAGGAGAAUCGCUUGAACCCGAGAGGCAGAGGUUGCAGUGAGCCGAGAUCACGCCAUUUCAGUCCAGCUGGGAGACAGAGCAAGACUCCGUCUUGAGAACAAACAAACAAACAGACAGACAGACAAAAAAACACGCAACACUCUAUUAACGCAUGAAUGUAUUCUCACCGAACAAGAUUCAAACAGUAUGAAUGAACAUAUUGCAAAUGUUUUUAAGUGUUUUUGAAAACUUUCAUUUUGAAACAAUUUCAAACUUAGUUGAAAAGUUGCAAGGAUGGCACAAAAACCUUCUAUUAAUACAUAGCUUUUAGCAGGAUUCCUCAGUUGUUAACAAUUUGCCACAUUUGCUUUAUAAUUUUUGCUCUGUCUCUACAUACUUUUAAGAUCUGAGCCAUUUGAAAUAUAAUGCCCCCUUAUAAUAGUUCCGUGGGUCUUUCCUAAAAACAAGUCAUUAUCUUCCAUAAUCCAGUACAGUUGUUCAAAUCAAGAAAAUUAACAUGGAUGCAAUAGUAUUAUCUCAUCUGCAGACCUUCUUCAAAUUUCACCAAUUGUCUCAAUAAUACCAUCCUUUUUAGCAUUUUUUUGGCUGAUUCCCACUACAAACUAUGAAAGCACAAAUGUCUCUCCUCUGCCUUGCCCAGAGGUUCCUCUUUCAAUCAUAGGGGAGGUGCCGAUAGGGUCUGUCUUUCAUUUUUCUCAAUGGAAGCACAUUCCCCACUUCUCAAUUUGCCUUGGGAGCUCUUAUUUCAAUCUCUUCUCAAUCCUUCGAAGCAGGACUCCUCCCUAGCCAUAUUCUACACAGAAGGAAACAGAAACUCAGCGUGAGGACGGCUCCUGCCCUGCGACCUCAGGUCCCCCAGCUGCCUUGCUAAGAGUUGAACCGUGCCCCCAGCCCCUACCCUGAUACAUUUCAGCAAAUUGAUAUGCAAGGCCCCUUUCCAGGCCCUGGGAACAUGAAGAGGAAGUUGCUGAUGGCUGUGCUCAAAGACUUCCCAGGCUAGUGCAAGGGACAGGAGAGGGCGGCCCUGCUGGAAGCUCAGUGAGGAGCCCUGCGGUGGGGAGUGGUUGAAGCCGUUAAGUCCUCUGGUGACCUAUGGGUGUGGAGGCUGGACCAGAGGGCCUUAAGGGGUAGCCCUGCAGGUCCCAACCCCAUUCUUGGUGGAAGUGUUGGCUGAGGUCUCUGGAGUUGAGUGGGGUGGCAGAACUGGGCACUCUCAUGACAGGAGAGGGGGGAUGGGCAGGAGAGGUGUUCAGAAAAGGAGUGCAGGGAGGGCGGAAGAGCCGCUGUGUGAGUUUCCCCCAGCCCCUUGAGCAGCUGUGGGCCUCCUGCCCAGUCCCCAUGCUGGGACCGAGAGGGCAAAGCGUGCAGAGAAGGCUGCACACCCUGCAGCCUCAGCCAGCGCGUGAUAGGGGAGCUCUGGGCAGGGACAAAGCUGCAGUCCCUGUCCCUGAAUGUCGGGGCGGGGGGGGGCGGGGAUAGAAAGGAGAAAAUGGGGCAGAGAGAAAAGAAAGCGGUGGCGUGCACAUGCCCAGGCCCUUUGCUCCACUUUCCAUGCUAUAUGAGACACUUCCCAAAAUUCACACUCCCUGGGACCCUGAGGAUGGGGGCUGUAUCAGAGGAAUUAAUUCAGUCACAGGAGGACAGGAGUCCAGCUCUGACUCAGUCCCAGUGGAGCAUCGUAGAAAACCGACAACCAGUGUCCAAGGAGCCCACUUUGGUGUCUGAUGGGUCACCAGGAAGAGUUUAUUAGAUUCCUGAAAAUCAUAAGUAAGCAUCCCUGCUUUGUGGAAUUUCAGUUGGUGAGUGACAAUGCCAAGUAUGCAAUUUGUCCUUCAACUUUUCAUUUAUGCCACACCGCGUGCUGGGCUCUCUGCAGGUGCUGGUGAAACAGACAUGAAAAGGCACAACCCCUGCCUCGGGAUCUGGUGGCAAGAUCAACAGGUAAACUGCAGGUCUGAUACGGAUUGACAGGUGCCACUCAGAGUGAGUACGGGUGGCAGAAACUCAGAGGGGUCCGCCUGCCCAGUCUGGGAUUGGGAAAGGCAUCUGAUUAGUUUCUCAUGGCUGUUGUAACAGAUUACCACUACCUUAGUGGCUUAAAACAACAUAAAUGUAUUCUCUUAUGACACUGAAGGUCGUUAAGUGUGAAAUCAGUUUCCCUGGCUAUAGGUGUCAUCUGAGCUGGUCUUUUCCGGAGGCUCCAGGGGAGAAUCGCUUCCUGGCCCUGUUCAGCUUUGGGAGGCUGCCUGCAUCCUUGCCUGCAGCCCCCUUCUCCUUCUUCAAAAUGCACCCCUGCAACCUCUGCACCCAACAUCACACGGCCUUCCCUGCUGCACUCAAAU